ACUUUAAUAUUUGCCAAUUUUCUAGAACUACAGCGUACAAUUUUAGAUUCAUGUAACGAAGCAAAAGAUGUAAGAAAUAUUAGUAUAUUAGAUAGAUAAAUUACCGCAUCAUUAUUUAUUAGAAAUCAAUCAGUUUGUAACGAAUGGAUAUAGCAAAGGUAGUUGACCAGACAAUAACAAUUCACCUUAGUGUUGUACAACUCCAUACAAAUCAUAUUUUUCAGGUCGCUGAAGCAACAUAUUAUGCAUCAGUCAUAUACAUUGUGACUCAAAACUUUAAUAUUUGCCAAUUUUCUAGAACUACAGCGUACAAUUUUAGAUUCAUGUAACGAAGCAAAAGAUGUAAGAAAUAUUAGUAUAUUAGAUAGAUAAAUUACCGCAUCAUUAUUUAUUAGAAAUCAAUCAGUUUGUAACGAAUGGAUAUAGCAAAGGUAGUUGACCAGACAAUAACAAUUCACCUUAGUGUUGUACAACUCCAUACAAAUCAUAUUUUUCAGGUCGCUGAAGCAACAUAUUAUGCAUCAGUCAUAUACUUGGCUGCAUGGUGAAUUUGAUCAAAA